CGGAUUGUAGUCUGNAACCCGACUACAUGAAGCUGGAAUCGCUAGUAAUCGCGGAUCAGAAUGCCGCGGUGAAUACGUUCCCGGGUCUUGUACACACCGCCCGUCACACCAUGGGAGUCGGAAAUGCCCGAAGUCGGUGACCGAACCGAAAGGAAGGAGCCGCCGAAGGCAGGUCUGGUGACUGGGGUGAAGUCGUAACAAGGUAGC
rnacentral:rRNA from 1 species